GGCCUACCAUGGUGGUAACGGGUAACGGGGUGUUAGGGCACGACACCGGAGAGGGAGCCUGAGAAACGGCUACCACAUCCAAGGAUGGCAGCAGGCGCGCAAAUUACCCAAUCCCGACACGGGGAGGUAGUGACAAUAAAUAACAAUACGGGGUUCUUUCGGAUCUCGUAAUUGGAAUGAGUACAAUUUAAAUCUCUUAACGAGGAACAAUUGGAGGGCAAGUCUGGUGCCAGCAGCCGCGGUAAUUCCAGCUCCAAUAGCGUAUAUUAAAGUUGUUGCAGUUAAAAAGCUCGUAGUUGAAUUUCGGGGUCAGCAGGUUGGUCGUGCCAAUGGUAUGAACUGGCCUUGCUGAUUCCUCCCUCUUGAUGAGCCGUAAUGCCAUUAAUUUGGUGUUGCGGGGAAUCAGGACUGUUACUUUGAAAAAAUUAGAGUGUUUAAAGCAGGCAAGCGCUUGAAUACAUUAGCAUGGAAUAAUGAAAUAGGACGUUUGAUCCUAUUUUGUUGGUUUCUAGGAUUGACGUAAUGAUUAAUAGGGAUAGUUGGGGGCAUUAGUAUUCAAUUGUCAGAGGUGAAAUUCUUGGAUUUAUUGAAGACUAACUACUGCGAAAGCAUUUGCCAAGGAUGUUUUCAUUAAUCAAGAACGAAAGUUAGGGGAUCGAAGACGAUCAGAUACCGUCGUAGUCUUAACCAUAAACUAUGCCGACUAGGGAUCGGAUGAUGUUAAUUUUUUAAUGACUCAUUCGGCGCCUUACG
rnacentral:rRNA from 1 species